rnacentral:rRNA from 1 species
UACGAAGGGGGGCUAGCGUUGUUCGGAAUUACUGGGCGUAAAGCGCCACGUAGGCGGAUAUUUAAGUCAGGGGUGAAAUCCCGGGGCUCAACCCCCGGAACUGCCUUUGAUACUGGGUAUCUUGCAGUUCGGAAGGGGUGAGUGGAAUUGCGAGUGUAGAGGUGAAAUUCGUAGAUAUUCGCAGGAACACCAGUGGCGAAGGCGGCUCACUGGUCCGAUACUGACGCUGAGGUGCGAAAGCGUGGGGAGCAAACAGG